rnacentral:tRNA from 3 species
AAGAUUUUAAGAUAAUAAUAAUCAUUUAACCUUCAAAGUUAAAAAUAUAAAAUAAUUUAUAAAUCUUA